CCUCCCUCCCCUCUCCGCAUCUCCCGGCCACCUCUACGCCCGAGGAGAUCGAGCGAGCGCCCGAGCGCGCCCGUCUUCGCAGCCUCCUCCCACGAUUCCCCGCACCCGAGCCCCACGAGAGGAGCUCUUCCUGUGGUUUUGCACGCCGGCGCCGGCGACCACCAGCCACAGCUUGCCAGAGCCAGCAGAUGAGUGCCACCCUUCUUCUCUGUUCUCUUCUUCCCAUGCUCUCUUUCUUCCUCCUUUUUCUCUCUCACACAUCUCGAUUACUCUCUCUGUCUCAAACAGUGCACUCCGCCGCCAUGGACCUUGCAGCGCGCCGCCCUGAUGCCAAGUCCCUCCUCGUCGUUCCUGCGCCGCCUAGCCGAAGCCUCGCCCAAGUCCAAGCGCCGCCGCCGUUUGCCUCCUCGCCAUGGCCUCCCCUGCAUCGUCUGCUUCGCGGACAGAGCUCCGUCUCCGUCAACGUGUCCUCCCGCCGUCUCUGUUCGCUGUCGGGCUCGAUCGACUCUAGCAGCACCCCCACGGUGACGCUCCGCUCGGCACCCGAGUAGUAGUCAUGUCCACGCGUUCUUGUCUUGAGGCGAUGGCAAUUUGUUUAAAACCGCAAGGCAGCUUUGCUUUCUACAGUAUCUCCUUCCUUGUUUUGUUCUGUGUAGUACGUCUUGGUUGGUCAAAAGCUACUAAAACAUUUACUGUUCUGUCGACCGAGGCCUGAGGCAGAGCUAAGGCUUGCCGAUUAUUGCUUACAACGCCAAGUUGCAAUUAGCUGGGAUGUGUAGCGUGGCUAGCUUGUGUUGAUUGGUUUUGAGAUAUAAUUGGAAACUGAUUGUGUGUCAGUACAACAAACGUGAUGUUUUUUUUGAAUAGCAAACGUGCUGAUGGAAGUGUCUUUUCAUACGUGAUUCUGAUUUGCACUUCUCGGUCAAAGGCAUCUCUAGUACGUGACACACUUUGGAUGUGCAAACUUGGUUUUGUUUUGCAUGCUUACUUGUUUAGUGAACUUGAUGCCAUGCUUAUUUCAUAUAUCUAAUAGUAACCUGCAAAAAAAUAUUGUAAUUGCCAAGCUUGAUUUGUUCUACUUGCCUGCUACAAACUAUUCAAAUAACUACUACUUAAUUAGUAGCAUGUAGACUGGAUUAUUAUUUUGUCAACAUUCUAUUCUAGAGAUAUUUACAAAAGCAUGUGUUGUCCAUCCCAUGUAGCAAUCACUGCUAGUUUGUAUUGAGCAAAUAGAGCACCGCACUGUAGCUAGCCUCGCGCGGCAGCUGCCGCCCGGGACGCGGUGUGCGUCGAGUGCAGUAUAGAUUUUCCAAUCUUUCUUUCAAAAUGACAAGUUGUAUUAGUACACCAUCAUGGGACAAAAGUAGCUGAACUGCACUUACUGUCAGGUCAGGGUGGUUUAUAGUGUUGCCUUUCAUCAAAAUCUCAAGGGGCCUUCUCAAAUCAGCUAUUAUUUUUUUCGCAUUUGCAGUGAGCUUUAACCGGAAAAUACCAUUAUCAGUCUUUUCGAAAUUGUAAGACACACCUGCAUGAAAUGGAAAACUAGUUACAUCUUCAAACUCACCAGUAGAUAUAAGCUUAAGCUUUUUGCAGUCUCAAACAAUCACACAAACAAUAUAAAUUCAGAAACGAAGCUACAUAAGAUUAGCAGCAUAACACUUGUGAUUUAGGCUUAUCAAGGAGAGGAAGGGGAUAUCCCUAUUUACUAAUGUUACAGAUUCUUGGAUGUGUACCUUGGUUGCAGUCUUGCAAGUGAUCACACAAAUACAUGUGUAAACUAGUGUAUCUACCAACAAACUCUUGCGGUGAUUCUUGAAAAUGAAUCACAUCUGAGCAGAAAUAACACAUAGUCCUGAAUUUAACAACAACCAAAAAAAACUUGCAUACCAAUAGGAACACCAAAAAUAUUGUAUGUACGCAUACUACCCCCAAUCAAAAUUACUUGCCAUAUUUAGCCCCUGAAAACAAACAAGGGCCAGUUCUGGCACUUUUCAUCUCUAAAGGAGAGAUGGUCAUUUAAUUGAGGAGUUGUAAACAUGACAUAUUAGUGAUGCAUCAUCAUUUAUUAUUUUUAUGGAGCAAACACACAUGAUAGGCUCAACAGCUGGCGUUGAGUUGUUAGAGCUCAACGCCAACAUAUAUGGUGUUGAACCGUGGCCUCCUUCCUUUGACCCUUGGGUGAAUUACAAAAGUGAGUGUUGGCUUGUUAUAUAACGAGCUGCAGUGCUUGGCCUAGAAAGAUUCUUCCAUACCCAGUAGCAGCGUUCAUCCUUUACUCUAUUUUUUCUCUUUUCUUUAUUCAUGCACGUACUGGUUUAACUUAUUUGCAAGCUUCUGCUCCAAGAUGGCAAUCACUGAUGCCUACUCUGUUGUUUCACCUUGUGCUACCGGGAAAAUCACAUGUGGUGGAUGGCUUGAGGCAGGCAAAAAUGACAACGACGAAGGUAGCGCAGUUCAGCGCCAUCCACUCUCGCGUUGAACACAAACAGCUCAACCCUGGGGUGUAUGGCGUUGAACGUGUUUGUUCCACAAAAGUGCUAAGUUUUUUCAAAUACCAAAGUGCUAACAUGAAAAGUUCUAUGGAACAAGAGGUACCAGAAGGUGGAGAACAAAAGAGUGAUGUUGGUGUUGUUGCUGACCUUUUCUCACU